GGGCUAGCAGUAGUACACAUACUAAAAUUACAACAAUAAAGAGAAUGUUAGCAGGCUCCUUGCACAAGAAGGAUCUACAAAUUCACAAAACACUGCACAUAAUA